CCUGGGUGCCCCGCGAGGGGAGCCCUAGCACAGGUGCUGCAUGGCCGUCGUCAGCUCGUGCCGUGAGGUGUUGGGUAAGUCCCGCAACGAGCGCAACCCCCGCCGUUAGUUGCCAGCGGUUCGGCCGGGCACUCUAACGGGACUGCCCGCGAAAGCGGGAGGAAGGAGGGGACGACGUCUGGUCAGCAUGGCCCUUACGGCCUGGGCGACACACGUGCUACAAUGCCCACUACAAAGCGAUGCCACCCGGCAACGGGGAGCUAAUCGCAAAAAGGUGGGCCCAGUUCGGAUUGGGGUCUGCAACCCGACCCCAUGAAGCCGGAAUCGCUAGUAAUCGCGGAUCAGCCAUGCCGCGGUGAAUACGUUCCCGGGCCUU
rnacentral:rRNA from 1 species